rnacentral:snRNA from 14 species
UUCCUCAAUUCACUGGGCCCAUGGCCUAGGUGGGUGGCUUCCGUUGCACUUAGUUAGGAAGGGUGUCUAUCUAAAUUAUACCCAUGUGGGAGAAUGUACCAUAUAAUUUGUGGUAGUGGGAGUACGUGUUUGCGCGACUCCUAC